GGGGAAUUUUGGACAAUGGGCGCAAGCCUGAUCCAGCCAUGCCGCGUGUAUGAAGAAGGCCUUCGGGUUGUAAAGUACUUUUGUCAGGGAAGAAAAGCUUUAGGUUAAUACCCUAGAGUGAUGACGGUACCUGAAGAAUAAGCACCGGCUAACUACGUGCCAGCAGCCGCGGUAAUACGUAGGGUGCGAGCGUUAAUCGGAAUUACUGGGCGUAAAGCGAGCGCAGACGGUUAUUUAAGCAGGAUGUGAAAUCCCCGAGCUCAACUUGGGAACUGCGUACUGAACUGGGUAACUAGAGUGUGUCAGAGGGGGGUAGAAUUCCACGUGUAGCAGUGAAAUGCGUAGAGAUGUGGAGGAAUACCGAUGGCGAAGGCAGCCCCCUGGGAUAACACUGACGUUCAUGCUCGAAAGCGUGGGUAGCAAAC
rnacentral:rRNA from 1 species